CUUUGCUACAAAAAUGCCUAGGCACAGUAACCAACAAGAAUACAACUGACAAGUAGUUUGACCAGAUCUGAAGGAAGUAUUCCUUAGAAGGUAAGUGGACACAAGAAAAAUAAGCCAAAAACUAGACUAUUGUAAAAUCUUUCUUCUAAAGGACCAGCUUCACAUUAGCAUGUACCUUCUUCCACUAAAACUGGUCAGAUUCAACUUCAAUCAAAUUCAUCUAGUCAACAAAGAUCCACAGUCUCUCAAACUCGUUUAAAUUCUACUGCUUCUAAGAGAU